CAACUGUGCCCUCAGCAGGCACCCUCCUAGCAACACCAGGAAAUCUCGCGGGUUGCAGAAGUGUUCUGCUGACCGGCGGAGACAGGCGGUGAGCGGCUCAGAUCUGCUCUCCGCGGUCUGUCUUCGCUUCAGGACCCGGCAAGGAGGGUGUCGGGACACGUUGGGAGCUGGGGGAUGUUCUGGGCAGGAGCGAGGUGCUAGGAGACGGCUCUGCAGGCGCGAGGCUCCCAAAGCAAGUCGGGCUCCGUGGCCUCCACCUUCAUCACCGGGGGACGCUGGACACCUGGAGCUGAAAACCGCGACGUGGCUAGAAUGGCCAUUGUGGAACACAGUAUGGAAAUGCCUCAGCAAGCUGAAAAUAGAUCUACCAUAUCAUCCAGCCAUGUCACUACUGGGAAUUUAUCUUUUUAUUUAUUUAUUUAUUUAUUUUACAGGCAGAAUGGACAGGGAGAGAGAGAGAGACAGAGAGAAAGGUCUUCCUUUGCGGUUGGUUCACCAUCCAAUGGCUGCCAUGGCUGGUGUGCUGCAGCAGGCGCACCGUGCUGAUCCAAAGCCAGGAGCCAGGUGCUUAACCUGGUCUCCCAUGGGGUGAAGGGCCCAAGCAUUUGGGCCAACCUCCACUGCACUCCCUGGCCACAGCAGAGAGCUGGCCUGGAAGAGGGGCAACCAGGACAGAAUCCGGUGCCCCGACCGGGACUAGAACCGGUGUGCCGGCGCCGCUAGGCAGAGGAUUAGCCUGUUGAGCUGCGGCGACGGCCGGGAAUUUAUCUUAAAAAAAUAAAAUCAGCAUAUGAAAGAGUUCUCUGUACCACUCAUUUAUUGCAGUUCAAUUCACAGUAACUAAGGUGUGGAAUCAACCUAGAUGCUCAUCAUCUGAUGACUGGAGAAAGAAAAUGUGCUAUGUGUACAUUGUGGAAUAUUACUCAGCAAUAAAAAAUGAAUUUCUGUCUUUCACAACAAAAUGGAUGCAACUGGAAACCAUUAUACUUUGUGAAAUAAGACAGUCUCCAAAAGAAAAAAAUUAUAUGUUUUACCUGUUCUAUGGUAACUAACAGAUGUUCUUUCUAUGAAAAAUUUGCUACAGGUUUUGAUUGAAAGAUACAGAAUACCCAAAGUCUUCAAAAUUGCAUGCUAUUUUAUAUAUGAUAUACACUCAAGUUUUUUGAAACAUAACUUUCACUUUGCUUUAUAAAACUCAUAUUUAAAUUACCCAAAAAGUGACAUUUAUCCCCUGGUAACAUAUUAAAUUAAACUGAGGUUUAUGAUAUCACAAUGGUAGUUUUUCACAUCCCAAUUGAUAAUGACAUCACAAUGGUUUUGGCAAUAUCACCAUGGAUUAUGACACAAUUGUAUUUUAGGACAUACAGUGAUGUGGCAAUUGAGAUGACACACAAUGGUAGGUUUCUGAAGUCAGAAUGGUUUUUAUGACAAAAAUUCAUAAUGAGAAAACAAUGGUUGCCUUGUAAACUCACAAUUUCAUGAAUAUGUUAUCACAAUAUUGGCAUAUGUCAUAAUGCUUUUAUGACAUCAUAAUUGAUUAUAAAAUGAUAAUAGUGAUUUAUGAAAUCACAAUUGAUUAUUAUCACAAUUAUAGGUUAAGGCACUGUAAUAAUUUUUAUGACUUCACAGUUGGUCAUGACAUCACAAAUUGGUUUAUGAUACGACAAUUUUUGUUUUUUUGCAUAAGCAAUCUUAUACAGCAAAAAGAAAGCUGGAGGCCUCACAAUACCAGAUUUCAAGACAUACUACAGGGCAGUUGUACUCAAAACAGUCUGGUACUGGUACAAAAAUAGAUUGCUAAACCAAUGGAACAGAAUAGAAACACCAGAAAUCAAUCCAAACAUCUACAACCAGCUUAUAUUUCAUCAAGUAACUAAAACCAAUUCCUGGAGCAAAGACCUUCUAAUCAACAAAUGGUGCUGAGAAAACUGAAUUUAAACAUGCAGAGGUAUGAAGCAAGAUCCCUACCUUACACCUUACACAAAAAUCCACUCAACAAAGAUCUAAAUCUAUGACCUGACAACAUCAAAUUAUUAGAGAACAUCUGAGAAACCCUGCAAGAUAUUGGCACAAGCAAAGUCGGGCUCGGUGGCUUCCACCUUCAUCACCGGGGGACGCUGGACACCUGGAGCUGAAAACCGCGACGUGGUGAGUGUGUGCGCCCAGGUGUUGGGAGAAGCUGGCAGGACGCGGGCCUCCCAGAGGUCGUCUCCGAAUCUGUGGUGCCAUAUUGCCGCUGGCCCAGCACUUCCCUUGGUCCCCUCAGACCCGGGGGUCGGGGUCUGCACUGGCACCCGGGACCCCUGACGCCCUGCCCCUUCCCUGCUCUCAGUGACUUCUCAGCCCAGAGCCUUCCCCGGCAGCUGUGUGGCAGCAGCCCCGCGUCUCCCCAACUGUGCAGUGGGCACGGGGUGGUCAUUAGGGAGAAUGUGGGCUCCGUGUGUGGGGUGCGUGUGGGACGGGAGCUGUAGUUUGUGCUGCCCUGGGUUCCUCCUUCCUUCCCUGCCGGGACCUGAUUCCCCCCAGUUUUCUAAAUAGGUGGGCAGCAGGGUCUCUUCCAGGAUGCUGGCCUCUCAGCACAGCUGUUUCUAGGGGGUCUCUCCACUUUCUGUUUCCAAUAACAUAGUCAUCUGGGGUGGGUAAGGCAAAAACAAAAGUUCUGUUUGACUUGGGGUUUCUGUUCAGGUUUUAGAGGUCACAAGUGCCCUGUAAUUUGACACUUGGUUAUCAUCUUUGCCCUUACACUGUCCCUUGACAGCCUGCAUUUGUACUUUCAAUAUAGGAAUUUUGUAUGCUCAGAAUUAUGAAUAUUAUAAAAAUUAUUCUGACCAUAAAAACCUUCCCAACCUAAAGAUAUGUCUACUGAGUUACUUUGAAUUUUUAUUUUUAUAUGAGAGCCUAGUUCUUUUUGUUUGUUUUAAUUUUUUCCAAGAUUGUUGGAUAUGUGUGACAAAACUUGGGUAUAUUCAAGGCAUGCAACAUGUUUUGAUAUAUGAGGAAAAUUUGAAAAAUCCCCAGUAUUGCAGAAAAACAUCACAAAGUGAUUUCAGUCCAUGAAAAAAACAGCACUUGGCAUAUAUAUAUUUAUAUAUAUAUGAUAUAUGUGUAUUAUAAGGUAUGUAUAAUAUAUAAAAUAAAAUACAUAUUUGUAAUAUUGAGAAAAGAUGAUAAAAGUGUAAUUGGAAAGAUAUAUCCAACCAUGAAUGGGACAACUCACUGUGGCACAUUGAUCAAUUAUCCUUAAAAUUAAUCUAUAAAUUUAACACCUUCUAUCCCAAAUUAAAGAGUAUUUGUGAAGUAUAUAACAAGACAGACAUAAUGGCCACAUGAAAAAAAAUUUGCAACAUUAGCCUCAAGAAUAUUUCUAAAUUUAGCAUUCAAAGAAAAACAUAGUGCAACCUAUCAAAACAUACAACAUUCACCAUAUUAAAAAUAUGAAGCUUCUUGAAGAAGGAAAAGAUGUCACUAAAGCGUAUUCAGUGUUCAAAUAGAAUGUUUUAUGUGAGGAUUUCGUGUGUUUUAAAAAUUAGCAAAACAAUUGGAAAGUCCCAGUGGAAAGGAGGAGAAAAGGGCAAGUGCAAUUAAGCAUAAGUAGCAGGCAAAUUGAAGUCCUAAUCAGAGGAACACAAAAAUCUAAAGGAAAUGGAGUACUGAUAAAUACAGGUACAGGUUUGAGUGUGUCUCCAACAGCUUUAGAGGAAGAAAUGCCAUUUGUACCUUGAAAUAAAUGCCAUAUUGCAAUAUAUGAGUGUGAAAAUAGUGUAGCUUGGUCUUCAGGCCCAGUACUUUAGCAAAUAGACAAGUUAUAUGUUA